AUGAACGCUGGCGGCGUGCUUAAUGCAUGCAAGUCGAACGAGAACCUCUUGAUAGGUAACUAUCGAGGGACUUCUAGUGGCGAACGGGUGAGUAACACGUGAGCAACCUGCCCCGAAGACCGGGAUAGCCCAUGGAAACGUGGAUUAAUACCGGAUACCCUCGCGGAACCGCAUGAUUCUGCGAGGAAAUGCUCCGGCGCUUCGGGAUGGGCUCGCGGCCUAUCAGCUAGUUGGUGAGGUAACGGCUCACCAAGGCACUGACGGGUAGCUGGUCUGAGAGGACGAUCAGCCACACUGGGACUGAGACACGGCCCAGACUCCUACGGGAGGCAGCAGCAGGGAAUAUUGCACAAUGGGCGCAAGCCUGAUGCAGCGACGCCGCGUGAGGGAUGAAGGCUUUCGGGUUGUAAACCUCUUUCAGUGGGGAAGAAGCGCAAGUGACGGUACCCACACAAGAAGGCCCGGCCAACUACGUG
rnacentral:rRNA from 1 species